rnacentral:rRNA from 1 species
AUUGAACGCUGGCGGCAUGCCUUACACAUGCAAGUCGAACGGUAACAGGUCUUCGGAUGCUGACGAGUGGCGAACGGGUGAGUAAUACAUCGGAACGUGCCUAGUAGUGGGGGAUAACUACUCGAAAGAGUGGCUAAUACCGCAUGAGAUCUACGGAUGAAAGCAGGGGAUCGCAAGACCUUGUGCUACUAGAGCGGCCGAUGGCAGAUUAGGUAGUUGGUGGGAUAAAAGCUUACCAAGCCGACGAUCUGUAGCUGGUCUGAGAGGACGAUCAGCCACACUGGGACUGAGACACGGCCCAGACUCCUACGGGAGGCAGCAGUGGGGAAUUUUGGACAAUGGGCGCAAGCCUGAUCCAGCAAUGCCGCGUGCAGGAUGAAGGCCUUCGGGUUGUAGACUGCUUUUGUACGGAACGAAAAGCCCUGGGUUAAUACCCUGGGGUCAUGACGGUACCGUAAGAAUAAGCACCGGCUAACUACGUG